AUUGAACGCUGGCGGAAUGCUUUACACAUGCAAGUCGAACGGUAGAGGGGGCAACCCCUUGAGAGUGGCGAACGGGUGAGUAAUAUAUCGGAACGUGCCCAGUCGUGGGGAUAACGUAGCGAAAGUUACGCUAAUACCGCAUACGAUCUAAGGAUGAAAGCGGGGGACUCGCAAGAGCCUCGCGCGAUUGGAGCGGCCGAUAUCAGAUUAGGUAGUUGGUGGGGUAAAGGCUCACCAAGCCAACGAUCUGUAGCUGGUCUGAGAGGACGACCAGCCACACUGGGACUGAGACACGGCCCAGACUCCUACGGGAGGCAGCAGUGGGGAAUUUUGGACAAUGGGCGCAAGCCUGAUCCAGCAAUGCCGCGUGCAGGAUGAAGGCCUUGGGUU
rnacentral:rRNA from 1 species